CGAACGCUGGCGGCAUGCCUAACACAUGCAAGUCGACCGAGACCUUCGGGUCUAGUGGCGCACGGGUGCGUAACGCGUGGGAAUCUGCCCUUGGGUUCGGAAUAACAGUUGGAAACGACUGCUAAUACCGGAUGAUGACGUAAGUCCAAAGAUUUAUCGCCCAAGGAUGAGCCCGCGUAGGAUUAGCUAGUUGGUGAGGUAAAGGCUCACCAAGGCGACGAUCCUUAGCUGGUCUGAGAGGAUGAUCAGCCACACUGGGACUGAGACACGGCCCAGACUCCUACGGGAGGCAGCAGUGGGGAAUAUUGGACAAUGGGCGAAAGCCUGAUCCAGCAAUGCCGCGUGAGUGAUGAAGGCCUUAGGGUUGUAAAGCUCUUUUACCCGGGAUGAUAAUGACAGUACCGGGAGAAUAAGCUCCGGCUAACUCCGUG
rnacentral:rRNA from 1 species